rnacentral:rRNA from 1 species
UACGGAGGGUGCAAGCGUUAAUCGGAAUUACUGGGCGUAAAGCGCGCGUAGGCGGCUUGUUAAGUCGAAUGUGAAAUCCCCGGGCUCAACCUGGGAACUGCAUCCGAUACUGGUUGGCUAGAGUGUGGUAGAGGGAAGUGGAAUUCCAGGUGUAGCGGUGAAAUGCGUAGAUAUCUGGGGGAACAUCAGUGGCGAAGGCGGCUUCCUGGACCAACACUGACGCUGAGGCGCGAAAGCGUGGGGAGCAAACAGG